rnacentral:rRNA from 1 species
CGACGGCAGCGCGGGGCAACCUGGCGGCGAGUGGCGAACGGGUGAGUAAUAUAUCGGAACGUACCCAAGAGUGGGGGAUAACGUAGCGAAAGUUAGCUAAUACCGCAUACGAUCCACGGAUGAAAGUGGGGGACCGCAAGGCCUCACGCUCCUGGAGCGGCCGAUAUCUGAUUAGCUAGUUGGUGAGGUAAAGGCUCACCAAGGCGACGAUCAGUAGCUGGUCUGAGAGGACGACCAGCCACACUGGGACUGAGACACGGCCCAGACUCCUACGGGAGGCAGCAGUGGGGAAUUUUGGACAAUGGGCGCAAGCCUGAUCCAGCAAUGCCGCGUGAGUGAAGAAGGCCUUCGGGUUGUAAAGCUCUUUUGUCAGGGAAGAAACGGUUCUGGAUAAUACCUGGGGCUAAUGACGGUACCUGAAGAAUAAGCACCGGCUAACUACGUGCCAGCAGCCGCGGUAAUACGUAGGGUGCAAGCGUUAAUCGGAAUUACUGGGCGUAAAGCGUGCGCAGGCGGUUUUGUAAGUCUGUCGUGAAAGCCCCGGGCUUAACCUGGGAAUUGCGAUGGAGACUGCAAGCUUGAUCUGGCAGAGGGGGGUAGAAUUCACGUGUACAGUG